CCGAACACUACUUUAGAUUUUAUGAUUCUCGAUAUUAGAAGUAAAGAUAACCAAUAGAUGAAGUUGUUGUACCCUAAUACCUAUUAAUUAUUUGAAUUCUCACUCAUUUUCUGUUGCAAUCACAAACUUUUAAGUAAUUAGAAUAAAAACUACUUUUUAUCAUUGUUAUCAUUUAUUUUCAUAACAAUAAUCCGAACUCAAAAUAUCUACUUUACUACUUGUAACGAUCAGUCCACUUGCUGGAUAAAAUUAACAACAAAUAUACAUACUAGUGCUAAUUUGUCAUACACAAUAACACAAAGGUAUUUAUCCCAAAUCAGAGUUUUGGAAGUUAAACACCAAAAAGUAAGCCUAUAAAUAAGUGGCCUAUUGCAGCAGCAAAAUUGUAUAAAUAAAUGGGCGACCAAAGGAAUCGUAGUUUAUUAGUUUUCAUUGGUCCAACUUUUGUUAUGCCUGAUAAUUAUUGGGAAAGUAGAACUGGGGCUUGUCUGAAGUUAAAUCAAUGCAGUUAAAAGUUUGUGAAAAUGGUAAAACCAGGACCGGUUCAUUGUUGAAUCGGCCAAUUUUAUUAAUAUUUUACGGGCUUCCUUUCUCUUGUUAAUAUAACAUGAUCAGACCGAAUUUGAGGCCGGUUCCCGAUUUUUUGGGUUGAACCGAUUGGCCCAAUCAAAUUUUCAAAACAUUGAGGAAAACAUACCUGCUAGGGAUUUCAUUUCAUGACCCCCACAGAUCAUUUAGACUCAUUCCAGGAUUUUCUAUCCUCUGUUUGGAUAGCCUAAUUUUCAGCUAAAAAGCAAUGUUAUACAUCUAUUCCAAAAUAGAUAUUAGUUUUAUGGUGGAGCUAAAGAAAAUCCACAUACACACGUCUAUCUAUUCUUGAAAGUGUGACAACAUUUUCUAUAUCAAGGUAUUUCAGAUUAUUAACCAAUUGCCAGUAUCAUUACGUGGAAUGACCUAGCUCAAAAGUUCUGUACAAAGUUCUUCCCAUCCACCAAGAUUGCAAAGUUAAAGCACGAAACAUCCAUCUUCCAU
rnacentral:lncRNA from 1 species